rnacentral:rRNA from 1 species
CCUUCGGGAGCCGACGAGUGGCGGACGGGUGAGUAACGCGUAGGAAUCUGCCUCAUAGUGGGGGACAACGUGGGGAAACUCACGCUAAUACCGCAUACGCCCUACGGGGGAAAGCGGGGGCUCGUAAGACCUCGCGCUAUGAGAUGAGCCUGCGUUAGAUUAGCUAGUUGGUAGGGUAAAGGCCUACCAAGGCGACGAUCUAUAGCUGGUCUGAGAGGACGAUCAGCCACACUGGGACUGAGACACGGCCCAGACUCCUACGGGAGGCAGCAGUGGGGAAUAUUGGACAAUGGGCGCAAGCCUGAUCCAGCAAUACCGCGUGUGUGAAGAAGGCCCUAGGGUUGUAAAGCACUUUCAAUGGGGAGGAAAACCUGCCGGUCAAUACCCGGUAGCUUGACAUUACCUGUAGAAGAAGCACCGGCUAACUCCGUGCCAGCAGCCGCGGUAAUACGGAGGGUGCGAGCGUUAAUCGGAAUUACUGGGCGUAAAGCGUGCGUAGGCGGUUCGUUAAGUCAGAUGUGAAAGCCCCGGGCUUAACCUGGGAACGGCAUUUGAAACUGGCGGACUGGAGUUGAGUAGAGGUAAGUGGAAUUUCAGGUGUAGCGGUGAAAUGCGUAGAUAUCUGAAGGAACACCAGUGGCGAAGGCGACUUACUGGACUCAAACUGACGCUGAGGUACGAAAGCGUGGGUAGCAAACAGGAUUAGAUACCCUGGUAGUCCACGCUGUAAACGAUGUCAACUAGCCGUUGGUCCUAUUGACAGGAUUAGUGGCGCAGCUAACGCCUUAAGUUGACCGCCUGGGGAGUACGGCCGCAAGGUUAAAACUCAAAUGAAUUGACGGGGGCCCGCACAAGCGGU